GAUGAACGCUAGCUACAGGCUUAACACAUGCAAGUCGCGGGGCAGCAUGGGGGUUGCUUGCAACCCCUGAUGGCGACCGGCGCACGGGUGAGUAACGCGUAUCCAACCUGCCCUUCACCACGGGAUAACCCGGCGAAAGUCGGACUAAUACCGUAUGUUUUCCAUUGACGGCAUCCGAUUUGGACGAAAGGCUGGGCGGUGAAAGGAUGGGGAUGCGUCCGAUUAGCUUGACGGCGGGGUAACGGCCCACCGUGGCUACGAUCGGUAGGGGUUCUGAGAGGAAGGUCCCCCACACUGGAACUGAGACACGGUCCAGACUCCUACGGGAGGCAGCAGUGAGGAAUAUUGGUCAAUGGGCGUAAGCCUGAACCAGCCAAGUAGCGUGCAGGAGGACGGCCCUAUGGGUUGUAAACUGCUUUUAUGCGGGGAUAAAGUGGCCCACGUGUGGGCUUUUGCAGGUACCGCAUGAAUAAGGACCGGCUAAUUCCGUG
rnacentral:rRNA from 1 species